UUUGGCUAUUUAUCGAACGCGGUAUUUCUACCAGGUCCUUGAUUAAAAAUAUUUUUCAAAAUACUCUCUUUACUCUUUAUUUUUUAUUUUAUUUUCGGAAAGCACUUAUUUUUAGUUAAACGCCGAACCAUUGAUAUUAAGACGGAAAAAAAACGCAGCAAAGAACAACGAGAAUCACAAAAGGCUGCAGGAUAGCAGGCAGGCAAGUGUGAUCGUCGAUUCAUCUACGAUUUUCUUGUGUAAAAAAAAUAUACCCAUAACAUUUUUCAUCUAUGAUAAAAUAAUAAAGUAAACACAAAUUAUUAAAAUGGUUGAUACUCGUAAAACACGACUCAUACAGUCUUACAUUUUCACUGUGAUAUACUUGAUGAUGAAUUUAUAAUUCUAAACCGAUCGUAUGAUACGCUUGUCACUUAUGAUAAUACUCCAGGUGACACAUUUAUUUAUUUAU